GUGGGGAAUAUUGCACAAUGGGCGAAAGCCUGAUGCAGCGACGCCGCGUGAGGGAUGACGGCCUUCGGGUUGUAAACCUCUUUCAGCAGGGAAGAAGCGAAAGUGACGGUACCUGCAGAAGAAGCGCCGGCUAACUACGUGCCAGCAGCCGCGGUAAUACGUAGGGCGCAAGCGUUGUCCGGAAUUAUUGGGCGUAAAGAGCUCGUAGGCGGCUUGUCACGUCGGAUGUGAAAGCCCGGGGCUUAACCCCGGGUCUGCAUUCGAUACGGGCUAGCUAGAGUGUGGUAGGGGAGAUCGGAAUUCCUGGUGUAGCGGUGAAAUGCGCAGAUAUCAGGAGGAACACCGGUGGCGAAGGCGGAUCUCUGGGCCAUUACUGACGCUGAGGAGCGAAAGCGUGGGGAGCGAACAGGAUUAGAUACCCUAGUAGUCC
rnacentral:rRNA from 1 species